UGGCAGAUGAAAGAACUGAACCCCCAAAACCAAACCCCUUUUCCCAGAGACCUGCCCAUACUUUACAGGGCAGUCAAGCAGCCUGUUCUUACAGGUGAGUGAGCCCUACAUGGACAAUGCCAACUGGCAGCAUCAGAACAUCAGAUUUGAAGGGAAGCUGUUCAGGACCCAAAACUACUGAAGCUGAAGAUGACUCAAUUUUCUCUGAGGAAGAAGAAGAAAAGCCACACAAUGACCAAUUGGUGGUACUGCCAACAAAAUCCUGGGGCCCAUCGUAAGAAAGGUCUAUAAAGCCCAAAAUUGCAGAACCAGUCCCCCCUGCUACACCAAAUCCUGAAGAAAACCCAACAGAAGGGGCAGAUGAGGCCCAGGAGAAAAAGAUACCUUACUGCCCACCCUCCUUUACUUGGCAACCACUCUUCUUUCUGCAACCACUGGGAUUUUCUACAUUUGAGGAUUUCCUCACUGUGUAAUUUUAUCUGCCAAAAACCUACUUUGUCCAUCCUAGACCAGAAGAGUCC
rnacentral:lncRNA from 1 species